CAGUCGCCGCGGUAAUACGAAGGGUGCAAGCGUUAAUCGGAAUUACUGGGCGUAAAGCGUGCGUAGGCGGUGAGUUAAGUCUGCUGUGAAAUCCCCGGGCUCAACCUGGGAAUGGCAGUGGAUACUGGCUCGCUAGAGUGUGUCAGAGGAUGUGGAAUUCCCGGUGUAGCGGUGAAAUGCGUAGAGAUCGGGAGGAACAUCAGUGGCGAAGGCGGCCAUCUGGGACAACACUGACGCUGAGGCACGAAAGCGUGGGGAGCAAACAGGAUUAGAUACCCCAGUAGUCCCUGUCUCUUAUACA
rnacentral:rRNA from 1 species